rfam:Triticum aestivum genome assembly, contig: Triticum_aestivum_CS42_TGACv1_scaffold_221834_3B
UUUGUACUCCCUCCGUCCCAAAAUUCUUGUCUUAAAUUUGUCUAAAUACGGAUGUAUCUAGUUACAUUUUAGUGUUAGAUACAUCCCUAUCUAAACAAAUGUAAGACAAGAAUUUUGGGACGGAGGGAAUACUAC